CAAACUUUGCUAAGGCUCUCUUGAAUAAAGCUUAUAAAUACUACUCUUGGUGGUAGAUUAAAAUGUCAUCUACAUUAUUUGUACUAUUUAUUUCUCAACUUUGAAAGUAUAAUUAACAAGAAUUAUUACCAUGGCACAAAAACUUGUUAUCCUUUUCACCACUCUUCUUGUUGUUAUGGCUGCUCAUAAUUCAUUUUACUCCACCAAAAUUCAUGUGAUGGCCCAAGAAGAUAUACAACAAAUUACAACAAAAUUAUUUCAAGAAGAUCAAGAUCCAAUUUGUGGAAAACCAUGUAAUACACAUGAUGAUUGCUCUGAUGCUUGGCUUUGUCAAGCGUGUUGGAAUUUCAGAAAAACGUGUGGUCCAUUUGUUGGCUAAUUAAGACAUGAUCAUGGGCCUAUAAUUUCAACAUUUAGUCACUUAAUUAGAUAAAUAAAUAACUUAAGUGACCAAAGUGUACUUGUUCAAAGAAAAAAUUAUGUGGCUAAGAAAUAAACUUUGAGUAUAAUGUGUUAUUUAUCAAUUAAAUAAAAGAUCAUGUGAUUAUGUGGCA